rnacentral:rRNA from 1 species
UACAGAGGGUGCAAGCGUUAAUCGGAAUUACUGGGCGUAAAGCGCGCGUAGGUGGUUUGUUAAGUUGGAUGUGAAAGCCCCGGGCUCAACCUGGGAACUGCAUCCAAAACUGGCAAGCUAGAGUACGGUAGAGGGUGGUGGAAUUUCCUGUGUAGCGGUGAAAUGCGUAGAUAUAGGAAGGAACACCAGUGGCGAAGGCGACCGCCUGGACUGAUACUGACACUGAGGUGCGAAAGCGUGGGGAGCGAACAGG